rnacentral:rRNA from 1 species
CACGAACGCUGGCGGCAGGCUUAACACAUGCAAGUCGAGCGCCCCGCAAGGGGAGCGGCAGACGGGUGAGUAACGCGUGGGAAUCUACCCAUCUCUACGGAAUAACGCAUGGAAACGUGUGCUAAUACCGUAUACGUCCUUCGGGAGAAAGAUUUAUCGGAGAUGGAUGAGCCCGCGUUGGAUUAGCUAGUUGGUGGGGUAAAGGCCUACCAAGGCGACGAUCCAUAGCUGGUCUGAGAGGAUGAUCAGCCACACUGGGACUGAGACACGGCCCAGACUCCUACGGGAGGCAGCAGUGGGGAAUAUUGGACAAUGGGCGCAAGCCUGAUCCAGCCAUGCCGCGUGAGUGAUGAAGGCCCUAGGGUUGUAAAGCUCUUUCACCGGUGAAGAUAAUGACGGUAACCGGAGAAGAAGCCCCGGCUAACUUCGUGCCAGCCGCCGCAGUAA